UCCUCCUUACAGAGGCAGUUUUGUCCGAGUUCCCGACAUUACUCGCUGGCAACAGACAAUGAGGGUUGCGCUCGUUGCGGGACUUAACCCAACAUUUCACAACACGAGCUGACGACAGCCAUGCACCACCUGUGUAGGACGCCGAAGCACACCACAUUUCUGUGGCUUUUCCCUAUAUUUCAAGCCCUGGUAAGGUUCUUCGCGUUGCUUCGAAUUAAUCCACAUGCUCCGCCGCUUGCGCGGGCCCCCGUCAAUUCCUUUGAGUUUUAGCCUUGCGGCCAUACUCCCCAGGCGGGGCGCUUAAUGCGUUAGCUACGGCACGGAUCCCGUGGAAGGAAACCCACACCUAGCGCCCACCGUUUACGGCGUGGACUAC
rnacentral:misc_RNA from 1 species